rnacentral:rRNA from 1 species
AUGGCCUACAUCGCCGGCAACCCCAUCAUGUCCGACGCCGAAUUCGACGAGCUCAAGAUCAGACUCAAGGAAGACGGAAGCGACAUCGUGACGGAAGGUCCGAGGUGCAGUCUACGGAGUCGGAAGGUGAGUGUGAUCCAAAAUCAUACAGUGGAGAUACUCUGUUAUAACAUUUCCAUUCUGUUAUAUGUUUGCAUUGAUUCACAUUCAAGUAACCCCCCAUUGCCAUAUGCAGUAUGUCUGAAAUUAGUGAACAAACCCACUUUACAUCAUGUGCCAAACUCUGAAAUUAAACCACCAAAAAUGCUGCUGCGAUUUUACAUUUAUUUCACCACUCGUAUAUGGUAA